CCCAGCUGGAGGCAACUGCCUAGGUUGCCUUGUUCCUAGGCAAGUGUUCCACUGCUGGGAGAAAAGUGGCCAAGGCCGGUGGACAUU
rnacentral:snoRNA from 1 species